GCGGCGUGCUUCAUACAUGCAAGUCGAACGAGAAGCAGGAGCUUGCUCCUGUGGAAAGUGGCGGACGGGUGAGUAACACGUAGGAAAUCUGCCUUUGGGUGGGGGACAACAGUUGGAAACGACUGCUAAUACCCCAUAUGAGCUUGGUUGCAAUACCAAUCUUGAAAACUCCGGUGCCUAAAGAUGAGCCUGCGUCUGAUUAGCUUGUUGGCGGGGUAAUGGCCCACCAAGGCGACGAUCAGUAGCUGGUUUGAGAGGAUGAUCAGCCACAAUGGGACUGAGACACGGCCCAUACUCCUACGGGAGGCAGCAGUAGGGAACUUUGCGCAAUGGGGGAAACCCUGACGCAGCAACGCCGCGUGAAUGACGAAGCCCUUCGGGGUGUAAAGUUCUGUCAGUAGGGAAGAAUUUUGACUGUACCUACAAAGGAAGCACCGGCUAACUCCGUGCCAGCCGCCGCAGUAA
rnacentral:rRNA from 1 species